ACGUAGGUGGCAAGCGUUGUCCGGAUUUAUUGGGUUUAAAGGGUGCGUAGGCGGUCCUGUAAGUCAGUUGUGAAAUACGGCAGCUUAACUGUCGAGGUGCAAUUGAUACUGCAAGACUUGAGUACUGAUGAGGUAGGCGGAAUGGACGGUGUAGCGGUGAAAUGCUUAGAGAUCGUCCAGAACACCGAUAGCGAAGGCAGCUUACUAAGGAGUAACUGACGCUGAGGCACGAAAGUGUGGGGAUCAAACAGGAUUAGAUACCCUGGUAGUCCACACUGUAACCGAUGAUUACUCGAUGUUGGCGAUAGACAGCCAGCGUCUUAGCAAAAGCGAUAAGUAAUUCACCUGGGGAGUACGCCCGCAAGGGUG
rnacentral:rRNA from 1 species